rnacentral:rRNA from 1 species
UUGAACUGAAGAGUUUGAUCCUGGCUCAGAUUGAACGCUGGCGGCAUGCCUUACACAUGCAAGUCGAACGGCAGCACGGGCUUCGGCCUGGUGGCGAGUGGCGAACGGGUGAGUAAUACAUCGGAACAUGUCCUGUAGUGGGGGAUAGCCCGGCGAAAGCCGGAUUAAUACCGCAUACGAUCCACGGAUGAAAGCGGGGGACCUUCGGGCCUCGCGCUAUAGGGUUGGCCGAUGGCUGAUUAGCUAGUUGGUGGGGUAAAGGCCUACCAAGGCGACGAUCAGUAGCUGGUCUGAGAGGACGACCAGCCACACUGGGACUGAGACACGGCCCAGACUCCUACGGGAGGCAGCAGUGGGGAAUUUUGGACAAUGGGCGCAAGCCUGAUCCAGCAAUGCCGCGUGUGUGAAGAAGGCCUUCGGGUUGUAAAGCACUUUUGUCCGGAAAGAAAUCCCAGGUCCUAA